GACGAACGCUAGCGGCGUGCUUAACACAUGCAAGUCGAACGGUAAGGCCCUUCGGGGUACACGAGUGGCGAACGGGUGAGUAACACGUGGGUGAUCUGCCCUGCACUUCGGGAUAAGCCUGGGAAACUGGGUCUAAUACCGGAUAGGACCACUGCCUGCAUGGGUGGUGGUGGAAAGCUUUUGCGGUGUGGGAUGGGCCCGCGGCCUAUCAGCUUGGUGGUGGGGUGAUGGCCUACCAGGGCGACGACGGGUAGCCGGCCUGAGAGGGUGACCGGCCACACUGGGACUGAGAUACGGCCCAGACUCCUACGGGAGGCAGCAGUGGGGAAUAUUGCACAACGGGCGCAAGCCUGAUGCAGCGACGCCGCGUGAGGGAUGACGGCCUUCGGGUUGUAAACCUCUUUCAGCACCGACGAAGCGCAAGUGACGGUAGGUGCAGAAGAAGGACCGGCCAACUACGUGCCAGCAGCCGCCGUAA
rnacentral:rRNA from 1 species